rnacentral:rRNA from 1 species
CACGUAGGGCGCAAGCGUGUCCGGAAUUAUUGGGCGUAAAGAGCUCGUAGCGGUCUGUUGCGUCCGCUGUGAAAACUCGGGGCUUAACCCCGAGCCUGCAGUGGAUACGGGCAGACUAGAGGUAGGUAGGGGAGAAUGGAAUUCCCGGUGUAGCGGUGAAAUGCGCAGAUAUCAGGAGGAACACCGGUGGCGAAGGCGGGUCUCUGGGCCGAUACUGACGCUGAGGAGCGAAAGCGUGGGGAGCGAACGG